AAUCGUAUUUGUCGUUAAGCAAAAUUAACAAAUACGAUUGGUCAAUUCCAAUGGAAUAAUCGACCAGUUAAUUUAACCGUGAGUUGUGGAACCGUGCCUAAGGGCCGAUUUUACCAACUCCGGUUACCUUAACCGGUCGGUUAUUCCAUUGGAAUUGACCAAUCACAUUUGUUAAUUUUGCUUAACGACAAAUACGAUUGGUCAAUUCCAAUGGAAUAAUCGGCCGGUUAAGGUAAUUGGAGUUGGUGAAAUCGGCCCUUAGGCUAUCCGAGUAAUUUUCUCUAGGACCGAAAUAUAUGAUAAGCACAUCCAUCUACUACCAUCAUGAUUCAUGACAACUCAAUGCUGUCUGGUAUAGCCAAAUCAACAUCACGAGCAAGUUGCGAGUUGCGGGUUCCGUGAGUUUGUAGCGGGUAAUCUAAAAAGUGCAGUUAAAUUACGAUUUUCCGAUAGUUUUCCUUCUGAGACUGAAGGUAAAAUCAAGCAUUGGUUUCAAACUGCGAAUGGAAGAACUAAAUAUAAGUCUAAUGCUUAAAAUAUAAUGUUAUAGUAUACUUUUCUUCAACUCUAUACUAUUACUGUUUGAUUGUUUUCAUUUUAAGUAAAAAGUUACUUUUGUUUUGUCUUAUAUAGUCUUAUAUAGUUUUAUAGUCUUCUAUGGUGUUAUUACAGUCUUUGUAGUUUUUUCUUAUAGUCUAUCUUUUUAUCGGUUGGAGUAUUAGGGCCAUUCUACAAUAGUCGCAAGUCGCCAGUUGCCUUUUGCGACCGCCAAUGAACAUUGAGCUUUACAUAUGGAACUCAAUGAUCAUUGAUUGUCAUAGGAAGCAACUGGCGACUUGCGACUAUUGUAGAAUAGCCCUUAAGCAGUGUAGUAAUAGCAUUUUAUAAUUAAUAUCUAUACAUGCAAUUUCUCUUUUGUAAUAUCUAUUGUGAUAUAAAAUAAAGAAUGAUGUAAUGUGAUGUGAUAAAGAAUUCACGAAACUAUUGUACAAUUGAUAUAGUACAAAUAAAAAUAUAAAUGACACUAAAAUAAAGAAUUGUAAUAUA